AAGAAUUUAAUGCCCAUGGCAUGUCCUCAGUAUAAGCUACUUAUACGGUGAAACUGCGAACGGCUCAUUAUAUCAGUUAUAGUUUCUUUGAUAGUGUUUUUUCUACACGGAUACUCGUGGCAAAUCUAGAAACAAUACAUGCUUCCAAGCCUGACUUUUCGGAGAAGGGCUGCAUUUAUUAGACUUAAACCAAUAUCUUUUCGGAGAUUGUUUUGGUGAUUCAUAAUAACUAAGCGAAUCGCACUUUUAGGCGAUGAAUCAUUCAAGUUUCUGCCCCAUCAGUUGUCGAUGGUAGGGUAUUGGCCUACCAUGACUAUCACGGGUGACGGAGAAUCAGGGUUCGAUUCCGGAGAGGGAGCCUUAGAGACGGCUACCACAUCCAAGGAAGGCAGCAGGCGCGUAAAUUACUCAAUGUCAACUCGACGAAGUAGUGACGAGAAAUAACCAUGGGGAGCCAUUUUGGUUUUCCAAUGGUAAUGAGAGCAAUGUAAAAACCUCAUCGAGGAUCAAUUGGAGGGCAAGUCUGGUGCCAGCAGCCGCGGUAAUUCCAGCUCCUAAAGUGUAUACUAACGUUGUUGCAGUUAAAAAGCUCGUAGUUGAACUAUUGGUUUGGGGUGUUUGUGGCUCUUUGAAUGUAAAUUCAUUGUAUUUGCUCUUACGCCUUGCCAUCUUGGUUUUACAUUUAUUGUAACACCUCUCUCAGUGUAAAAAAUUUAGGGUGCUACACGCAUAGUGUUUGUGCUCAGAAUAUUCUAUGGGAGAAGAAAAUAAACUCUGGUGGCGCUAUUUUGGUGGUUUGCACAUCACAGAGUGAUCACGGGCACUUGUGGGUGUACUCAUUUUUAUAUCUCAGAUGAGAUACUCGUAUAUUCUCAAAACACAAUAUAGUGAAACACUUUUCCCGGAGGUGUUUUCUUUCUCAAAAAAAAUUUGGGAGAUCAAAGAUUAUAUACACCUCCAACUCUCACCAAAAAUACCCCACUUGAUUUCCCCAUUUUUUUUUUAAAUUUGGGCCCGCCCGGGAAAAACAAAUUUUUUUUUCCCGGGGGAGUGUGGCCCAAAAAAAAUUUUAAAAAUUUUCAGAGGCCCCCCCCCGGGGACCCCCCCUUUUUUUUUUCCCCGAAAUAUUCCCCCCCACAAAAGAGGGGGGAAAGUAAACUCUUCCUUUUUUCGGGGGGGGGGGGCCGUUUUUUGGGGGAAUUUUUUGGUGUUGGUUGUGGGGAGACCCCCCCCCACAACCCCUGGGAUAUAAAAAAAUCCCAAGGGAUCGGUUUUCCAGAGAACUUGGCCCCAGGGAGGCCCC
rnacentral:rRNA from 1 species